GGGAGCUCUUUCCACCCUGAAGGGACAGCACACAGGUGCUUGCUGAAAAUGUAACAAGUAGGUGAUGGAAGCUGGUACCACUGAGUCCGUUCGAGGCAGGAAUAGACAUUGCAAUAAUGAACGAGAGUUGCACAGGCUGGGGGUUCAAUCCCUAAGUCCUCACGCAGGCUCAGCUCUCAUUGCCGUGCUUCUUGAAAAGCCUCAUCGACAUCCAUAGGAAUUUACCAGUGGUAAAAGGUGGACCUGAGGAAGGCAUCGGUGGGAGCUGCCAAGAGAAUGUGAACAGGCUGCUGCUGCUGCUGCUGUAGCCUCGGUCUCUCUGUGAGCUGUUGUAUCAUGCGGUGUAAAGGAAUCAGCGCCAAUGCAAUUAAACCUCAGCUUGGAGACUGAUCUCCUGGAA